rnacentral:rRNA from 1 species
UACGAAGGGGGCUAGCGUUGCUCGGAAUCACUGGGCGUAAAGCGCACGUAGGCGGAUCUUUAAGUCAGAGGUGAAAUCCCAAGGCUCAACCUUGGAACUGCCUUUGAUACUGGGGAUCUCGAGUCCGGAAGAGGUGAGUGGAACUGCGAGUGUAGAGGUGAAAUUCGUAGAUAUUCGCAAGAACACCAGUGGCGAAAGCGGCUCACUGGUCCGGUACUGACGCUGAGGUGCGAAAGCGUGGGGAGCAAACAGG